GUCCAUGGCCAUACCACCCUGAACACGCCCGAUCUCGUCUGAUCUCGGAAGCUAAAGCAGGGUUGGGCCUGGUUAGUACUUGGAUGGGAGAAUAUAAACAUGUGGAAAAUCACAUGAAAUGGCUU
ensembl:rRNA 5S_rRNA 5S ribosomal RNA